rnacentral:rRNA from 1 species
UACGAGUGCCUCGAGCGUUAUCCGGAAUCAUUGGGCGUAAAGGGUGCGUAGGUGGCGAUAUUAGUCUCCCGUAAAAUCUCUCGGCUUAACCGAGAGUCUGCGGGGGAAACGGUAUCGCUUAGAGGACGGGAGAGGUUUCUGGAACUCAUAGUGUAGCGGUGAAAUGCGUUGAUAUUAUGGGGAACACCAAAAGCGAAGGCAAGAAACUGGCCCGCUCCUGACACUGAGGCACGAAAGCGUGGGUCGCGAAUGGG